rnacentral:tRNA from 1 species
GGAGAGGUGUGUGAGCGGUUGAAACAGCAGGUCUCGAAAACCUGUAGGGAGGAAACUCCCUCGUGGGUUCGAAUCCCACCCUCUCCG